UACGUAGGGGGCUAGCGUUGUCCGGAAUUAUUGGGCGUAAAGAGCUCGUAGGCGGUGUGUCGCGUCGGCCGUGAAAACCUGCAGCUUAACUGUGGGCUUGCGGUCGAUACGGGCAUCACUGGAGUUCGGCAGGGGAGACUGGAAUUCCUGGUGUAGCGGUGAAAUGCGCAGAUAUCAGGAGGAACACCGGUGGCGAAGGCGGGUCUCUGGGCCGAUGACUGACGCUGAGGAGCGAAAAGCGUGGGGAGCGAACAGG
rnacentral:rRNA from 1 species